CUUACCUACUCUUGACAUCUACAGAAGUCGGCGGAGACGCUGAUGUGCCUUCGGGAACUGUAAGACAGGUGCUGCAUGGCUGUCGUCAGCUCGUGUUGUGAAAUGUUGGGUUAAGUCCCGCAACGAGCGCAACCCUUAUCCUUGUUUGCCAGCGAGUAAUGUCGGGAACUCCAGGGAGACUGCCGGUGAUAAACCGGAGGAAGGUGGGGACGACGUCAAGUCAUCAUGUAGGGCUACACACGUG
rnacentral:rRNA from 1 species